GACAGGGGAUGCAAGUGUUAUCCGGAAUUAUUGGGCGUAAAGCGUCUGCAGGUGGAGAUUUAAGUCUUUUGUUAAAUCUUUGAGCUUAACUCAAAUUCUGCAAAAGAAACUAUUUUCUCUAGAGUUUGGUAGAGGUAAAGGGAAUUUUCAGUGGAGCGGUGAAAUGCGUAGAUAUUGGAAAGAACACCAAAGGCGAAGGCACUUUACUGGGCCAAAACUGACACUCAGAGACGAAAGCUAAGGGA
rnacentral:rRNA from 1 species